rnacentral:misc_RNA from 1 species
UUUCUUUCAUUUUCAUUCCUUUUUUUCAAGUGUUUAAUUUGGACUCUUCAAUGUUUGUUGGAAUGAAAAAAUAAACAUGCAUCGUCUUUUUCAUUAUUUAUUUAUUAUAAAUUGAAAUUUUUAACACAAAAACCAUUAUUAACAAACCAAUAACAAUGGAAUAUUACUGAAAUAGUAAACCCAAUAUAAUGACAAUAGGGUUUAAUUAUUAGCAAACAUAUAUAUAUAUAUCGUGAUUUAGCAUAAUUAUUG